rnacentral:misc_RNA from 1 species
GUGAAUCAUCGAAUUUUUGAACGCAAAUUGCACUCUCUGGUAUUCCGGAGAGUAAGCCUGGUUGAGGGGCAGGCUUAAUAAAAAUCGGUGUGGUUGCUGCCUUACGUGGUGACGCACCGGAUUUGGGUCGUCUUGCCUUCGGUUAAGUGACCUAUAAAUAUGCUUGAUAUGUUUCGAACGUAUUUAAAUGAAUUUACGUACGUUUG